CAGCUAGUUGGCGGGGUAAUGGCCCACCAAGGCGACGACGGGUAGCUGGUCUGAGAGGAUGGCCAGCCACAUUGGGACUGAGAGACGGCCCAGACUCCUACGGGAGGCAGCAGUGGGGAAUCUUGCGCAAUGGCCGAAAGGCUGACGCAGCGACGCCGCGUGUGGGAUGAAGCAUUUCGGUGUGUAAACCACUGUUGCCCGGGACGAACAGCCUGUUUCGACAGGUCUGACGGUACCGGGUGAGGAAGCACCGGCUAACUCCGUGCCAGCAGCCGCGGUAAUACGGAGGGUGCGAGCGUUGUCCGGAAUCAUUGGGCGUAAAGGGCGCGUAGGUGGCCCGCUCAGCGUGCGGUGAAAGCUCGGGGCUCAACCCCGAGUCGGCCGUGCGAACUGGUGGGCUGGAGCACUGUAGAGGCAGGCGGAAUUCCGGGUGUAGCGGUGGAAUGCGUAGAGAUCCGGAAGAACACCGGUGGCGAAGGCGGCCUGCUGGGCAGUUGCUGACACUGAGGCGCGACAGCGUGGGGAGCAAACAGGAUUAGAUACCCUGGUAGUCCACGCCGU
rnacentral:rRNA from 1 species